AUUGAACGCUGGCGGCAGGCCUAACACAUGCAAGUCGAACGGUAACAGGGAUCAGCUUGCUGAUUCGCUGACGAGUGGCGGACGGGUGAGUAAUGUCUGGGAAACUGCCUGAUGGAGGGGGAUAACUACUGGAAACGGUAGCUAAUACCGCAUAACGUCUCAAGACCAAAGAGGGGGACCUUCGGGCCUCUUGCCAUCGGAUGUGCCCAGAUGGGAUUAGCUAGUAGGUGGGGUAACGGCUCACCUAGGCGACGAUCCCUAGCUGGUCUGAGAGGAUGACCAGCCACACUGGAACUGAGACACGGUCCAGACUCCUACGGGAGGCAGCAGUGGGGAAUAUUGCACAAUGGGCGCAAGCCUGAUGCAGCCAUGCCGCGUGUAUGAAGAAGGCCUUCGGGUUGUAAAGUACUUUCAGCGGGGAGGAAGGGAGUAAAGUUAAUACCUUUGCUCAUUGACGUUACCCGCAGAAGAAGCACCGGCUAACUCCGUG
rnacentral:rRNA from 1 species